rnacentral:rRNA from 1 species
GGACUACCCGGGUAUCUAAUUCCGUUCGCUACCCUGGCUUUCGUGCCUCAGCGUCAGAAAAUGCCCAGUAACCUGCCUACGCCAUUGGUGUUCCUUGCAAUAUCAAAGCAUUUCACCGCUCCACCGCAAGUUCCGGUUACCCCUACAUUCCUCGAGUCUGACAGUUUGGAGCGCAAUUCCUCAGUUGAGCUGAGGGAUUUCACACCCCACUUACCAAACAGCCUACGCACCCUUUAAGCCCAGUGAUUCCGAAUAACGUUUGGACAGUUCGUCUUACCGCGGCUGCUGGCAC